CCUACGGGGGGCUGCAGUGGGGAAUAUUGGACAAUGGGCGGAAGCCUGAUCCAGCAAUACCGCGUGUGUGAAGAAGGCCUGAGGGUUGUAAAGCACUUUCAAUAGGAAGGAAUACCUAUCCAUUAAUACUGGGUAGACUGACAUUACCUAUACAAGAAGCACCGGCUAACUCCGUGCCAGCAGCCGCGGUAAUACGGAGGGUGCAUGCGUGGGUCGGAAUUACUCGUCGUAAAGCGUUUAAGGGCGGUGUGAAAGCCCCGGGCUUAACCUGGGAAUGGCAUUUGAUACUGGCGAGCUAGAGUUGAGUAGAGGGGAGUGGAAUUUCAGGUGUAGCGGUGAAAUGCGUAGAGAUCUGAAGGAACACCAGUGGCGAAGGCGACUCCCUGGACUCAAACUGACGCUGAGGUACGAAAGCGUGGGUAGCAAACAGGAUUAGAUACCCGAGUAGUC
rnacentral:rRNA from 1 species